UACGAAGGGGGCUAGCGUUGCUCGGAAUCACUGGGCGUAAAGGGUGCGUAGGCGGGUCUUAAGUCAGGGGUGAAAUCCUGGAGCUCAACUCCAGAACUGCCUUUGAUACUGAGGAUCUUGAGUUCGGGAGAGGUGAGUGGAACUGCGAGUGUAGAGGUGAAAUUCGUAGAUAUUCGCAAGAACACCAGUGGCGAAGGCGGCUCACUGGCCCGAUACUGACGCUGAGGCACGAAAGCGUGGGGAGCAAACAGGAUUAGAACCCCA
rnacentral:rRNA from 1 species